ensembl:snRNA U6 U6 spliceosomal RNA
GUGCUCACUUUGAGAGCACAUUUACUAAAAUUGGAACAAUAUAGCAAAGAUUAGCAUGACCUUUGCACAGGAUGACAUACAUUAUAUGAGCUUGGCACCAAUGGCUC